UUUUUUAUAUUAUUUUGUUUGUUUUUUUCAAGUCAAAAUCUAGAGCCUCUAAAGCUGUUUCUGUCCUUACAUAAGACGCCAUGUUCCUACAGUUGUUUGAAGAUUGAAAAAUCAGAGAAACCAUCAUUUCAACAAUGGAGAACAAGCCAAUUCUUGGAGAUGAAGAAGAGAAGACAAUAAAACCUAGCAGCUCUAGUGAAGAAAAUCAUGAUUUUAUAGCAAUCAACAACAAGGU
rnacentral:lncRNA from 1 species